rnacentral:rRNA from 1 species
ACGAACGCUGGCGGCAUGCCUAACACAUGCAAGUCGAACGAGACCUUCGGGUCUAGUGGCGCACGGGUGCGUAACGCGUGGGAACCUGCCUUUAGGUCCGGAAUAACUCAGAGAAAUUUGAGCUAAUACCGGAUGAUGUCUUCGGACCAAAGAUUUAUCGCCUUUAGAUGGGCCCGCGUUGGAUUAGCUAGUUGGUGGGGUAAAGGCCUACCAAGGCGACGAUCCAUAGCUGGUCUGAGAGGAUGAUCAGCCACACUGGGACUGAGACACGGCCCAGACUCCUACGGGAGGCAGCAGUGGGGAAUAUUGGACAAUGGGCGAAAGCCUGAUCCAGCAAUGCCGCGUGAGUGAUGAAGGCCUUAGGGUUGUAAAGCUCUUUUACCCGAGAUGAUAAUGACAGUAUCGGGAGAAUAAGCUCCGGCUAACUCCGU